UAUGAAUUGAGCAGAAGGAAACAAAGUUCUGCAGAUAAACACCAAUGAAACAAAAAACCACGAAUAAGAAAAAUGACAGAAAAGGAGAACCUUCCCAGAAUCCUCCUGCCAGUGAACGGUCACCAGAGCAAGAGCAUGGAGUCCCUGGGUUUUGAACUGUGAGAUAAGGAAGAUGAUGAAAACCUCCCUAGCAGCCAGAGACAGGGUCUUGUUGUGUUGCCCAGGCUGGACUCAAACUCCUGGGUUCAAAUGAUUCUUCUGCCUCAGUCUCCCGAGUAGCUGAGACUACAGCCAGGUACUAUUCUAGAUUGUCUUGUGAUAUUUACAAUCUAGGAGAAGGCAGGAGAGAGAACUAAGAACAGAGAGCAUGUUCUGAGAUGUCUGCUGUGUUUGCAGACUUAGAUUUUUGGCUGGACUAUUGGCUUGGGAUAGAUGAAAAUCAUUCCUUGUAUCCCCUGAUCUUAAAGUCAAGACUGAACCAGCCUCCAGAUGCAAGCCUUCAUGGGGCUUCAGAUACCAUGAGGAAUGGGCGUCCCUGCAAUAUUGUCAUGGCUGUCAAAAGUGUUAUUGGAGCUGGAAACUCCUGGAGGGCAGAGCCAUGCCUGCCAUUUUCAUCAUUGCAUUACCACCACCCAGCACAGUGCCUGGUACAAAAGAGUUGCUCAAUAAAUAAAUCAGGAUGAAUGGACAAAUACACGGAUAGGCACUUUGAACUACAGAUGAGCUUAAAUACUUUGUGUUUUUCUUAGUCAAACAUGUGCAAUUAAGCAUGUGAUAAAUUAUAUGAUGACCACAC